rnacentral:sRNA from 1 species
UCGCAGACGCGACGCAUCGUGCCCCGGA